AUUGAACGCUGGCGGCGUGCCUAACACAUGCAAGUCGAGCGGUAACGCGGGGGCAACCCUGGCGACGAGCGGCGAACGGGUGCGGAAUGCAUGGGAAUCUGCCUGGUAGUGGGGAAUAACCCGGGGAAACUCGGGCUAAUGCCGCAUACGACCUGAGGGUGAAAGCGGGGGACCGUAAGGCCUCGCGCUAUCAGAUGAGCCCAUGUCGGAUUAGCUAGUUGGUAGGGUAAUGGCCUACCAAGGCGACGAUCCGUAGCUGGUCUGAGAGGACGGCCAGCCACACUGGGACUGAGACACGGCCCAGACUCCUACGGGAGGCAGCAGUGGGGAAUAUUGGACAAUGGGGGCAACCCUGAUCCAGCGACGCCGCGUGUGUGAAGAAGGCCUGCGGGUUGUAAAGCACUUUUAGUGGGGAGGAAGGUCUGCGACCUAACACGUCGUGGAAUUGACUUAACCCACAGAAAAAGCACCGGCUAACUCUGUGCCAGCAGCCGCGGUAAAGUGACU
rnacentral:rRNA from 1 species